rnacentral:misc_RNA from 1 species
AAGUCGUAACAAGGUUUCCGUAGGUGAACCUGCGGAAGGAUCAUUAGCGAAGUCAAGUCCGGACCUGUUGGGGAUUGUAGCUGGCCUAACGGCAAGUGCUCGUCCCUCGGGUACGUGACCUUCACUACCACACCCCACUGUGAACCAAGCGGGAGGUCGAAAGGCCUCUUGCAUCUUAUAUAAACCCCAAUUGCAUGUCUUAGAAUGUCAUAGCGUUAACUCGCAACUAUACAACUUUCAACAACGGAUCUCUUGGCUCUC